AAUAUUGGACAAUGGGUGAAAUCCUGAUCCAGCCAUCCCGCGUGAAGGAUGAAGGUCCUAUGGAUUGUAAACUUCUUUUGUACAGGAAUAAAACUACUCUCGUGAGAGUAGCUGAAGUUACUGUACGUAUAAGCAUCGGCUAACUCCGUUCCAGCAGCCGCGGUAAUACGGAGGGUGCAAUCGUUAUCCGGAUUUACUGGGUUUAAAGGGUCAGUAGGCGGACCCGUAAGUCAGUGGUGAAAUCUCAUAGCUUAACUAUGAAACUGCCAUUGAUACUGCGGGUCGUGAGUAAAUUUGAAGUGGCUGGAAUAAGUAGUGUAGCGGUGAAAUGCAUAGAUAUUACUUAGAACACCAAUUGCGAAGGCAGGUCACUAAGAUUUAACUGACGCUGAUGGACGAAAGCGUGGGUAGCGAACAG
rnacentral:rRNA from 1 species